rnacentral:sRNA from 1 species
AGAAUUAUCGAGUCAUAACGCAACUGACCGAUUAGCGCAGGCUCAUAAGAGCCCUUUCCCCUGUGCCCAAAGCCCAACGCUUUGGGCUUUUUUUU